rnacentral:rRNA from 1 species
GAACGGGUGAGUAACACGUGGGCAAUCUGCCCAAAAGUGGGGGAUAACACUUGGAAACAGGUGCUAAUACCGCAUCAACCGGCUGACCGCAUGGUCGGCCGGGCAAAGACGGCGUCAGCUGUCGCUUUUGGAUGAGCCCGCGGCGUAUUAACUAGUUGGUAAGGUAACGGCUUACCAAGGUGAUGAUACGUAGCCGAACUGAGAGGUUGAUCGGCCACAUUGGGACUGAGACACGGCCCAAACUCCUACGGGAGGCAGCAGUAGGGAAUCUUCCACAAUGGACGCAAGUCUGAUGGAGCAACGCCGCGUGUAUGAAGAAGGUCUUCGGAUCGUAAAAUACUGUUGUCAGAGAAGAACACGUGAUAGAGUAACUGUUAUGGCGCUGACGGUAUCUGACCAGCAAGUCACGGCUAACUACGUGCCAGCAGCCGCGGUAAUACGUAGGUGGCAAGCGUUGUCCGGAUUUAUUGGGCGUAAAGGGAACGCAGGCGGUCUUUUAAGUCUGAUGUGAAAGCCUUCGGCUUAACCGGAGAAGUGCAUUGGAAACUGGAAGACUUGAGUGCAGAAGAGGAGAGUGGAACUCCAUGUGUAGCGGUG